rnacentral:rRNA from 1 species
UUAUAUACAUAUAAAAGUAAUAAUGCUAGAACUAGUAACAAGAAAUUGAAUUUCUCCUAAAUGUAAACAUAAGCCAUAAUGGACCACCCGCUGGCGCUUAACGUCUAUGCCACCACUAUAACAACAUCCACCCAAGAAGACCUUAUUAAUUUUAACGUUAACCUUACACUAGUACAUUCCAGGAAAGAUUAAAAAAGAGAGAAGGAACUCGGCAAAUUUUAGCCCCGCCUGUUUACCAAAAACAUCACCUCUUGGCAUAAUAUAAGAGGCCCAGCCUGCCCGGUGACAAAGUUUAACGGCUACGGUACCCUGACCGUACGAAGGUAGCAUAAUCACUUGUUCCUUAAAUAGGGACUUGUAUCAACGGCAUCACGAGGGCUGCACUGUCUCCUCUCUUCAAUCAGUGAAACUGAUCCUCCCGUGAAGAAGCGGGAAUUUAACUAUAAGACGAGAAGACCCCAUGGAGCUUUAAACAACGUACUCACACUAUAUAAAUAUACCCUUUUACUAGAAGUCCUGAGCACAAGUUUUUGGUUGGGGAGACCGCGGAGAACAACUAAACCUCCGCGACAGACGGCCCAAGCCCUUAUCCACGAGCCACAACUCUAAGAAUCAGAAUACUGAUGAUUAUGACCCGAUAAUAUUCGACUAACGAACCAAGUUACCCUGGGGAUAACAGCGCAAUCUACUUCAAGAGUCCAUAUCGACAAGUAGGUUUACGACCUCGAUGUUGG